rnacentral:rRNA from 1 species
UACGGAGGGUGCAAGCGUUGUCCGGAAUCACUGGGCGUAAAGGGCGCGUAGGCGGCUCAUGAAGGCUGUGGUGAAAGUCCGGGGCUCAACCUCGGAUCGGCCGUGGCGACUCGUGGGCUGGAGCACUGUAGAGGCGGGUGGAAUUCCGGGUGUAGCGGUGGAAUGCGUAGAGAUCCGGAAGAACACCAGUGGCGAAGGCGGCCCGCUGGGCAGUGGCUGACGCUGAGGCGAGACAGCGUGGGGAGCAAACAGG